CCUACGGGAGGCUGCAGUGAGGAAUAUUGGUCAAUGGACGAGAGUCUGAACCAGCCAAGUAGCGUGAAGGAUGACUGCCCUAUGGGUUGUAAACUUCUUUUAUAUGGGAAUAAAAUGUUCCACGUGUGGGAUUUUGUAUGUACCAUAUGAAUAAGGAUCGGCUAACUCCGUGCCAGCAGCCGCGGUCAUACGGAGGAUACGAGCGUUAUCCGGAUUUAUUGGGUUUAAAGGGAGCGUAGGUGGAUUGGUAAGUCAGUUGUGAAAGUUUGCGGCUCAACCGUAAAAGUGCAGUUGAAACUGGCAGUCUUGAGUACAGUAGAGGUGGGCGGAAGUCGUGGUGUAGCGGUGAAAUGCUUAGAUAUCACGAAGAACUCCGAUUGCGAAGGCAGUUCACUGGACUGCAACUGACACUGAGGCUCGAAAGUGUGGGUAUCAAACAGGAGUAGAUACCCGAGUAGUC
rnacentral:rRNA from 1 species